GGAGGAAUACCCAAGUCCGGCUGAAGGGAUCGGUCUUGAAAACCGACAGGGGCUCAUAACCCGGCUCGCGGUGGUUCAAAUCCGCCUCCCGCAA
rnacentral:tRNA from 1 species